UCGAUUCCCUUAGUAGCGGCGAGCGAAACGGGAAGAGCCCAAACCAACAAGCUUGCUUGUUGGGGUUGUAGGACACUCUAUACGGAGUUACAAAGGACGACAUUAGACGAAUCAUCUGGAAAGAUGAAUCAAAGAAGGUAAUAAUCCUGUAGUCGAAAAUGUUGUCUCUCUUGAGUGGAUCCUGAGUACGACGGAGCACGUGAAAUUCCGUCGGAAUCUGGGAGGACCAUCUCCUAAGGCUAAAUACUCUCUAGUGACCGAUAGUGAACCAGUACCGUGAGGGAAAGGUGAAAAGCACCCCGGAAGGGGAGUGAAAUAGAACCUGAAACCGUGUGCUUACAAGUAGUCAGAGCCCGUUAAUGGGUGAUGGCGUGCCUUUUGUAGAAUGAACCGGCGAGUUACGAUUUGAUGCAAGGUUAAGCAGUAAAUGUGGAGCCGUAGCGAAAGCGAGUCUGAAUAGGGCGUUUAGUAUUUGGUCGUAGACCCGAAACCAGGUGAUCUACCCUUGGUCAGGUUGAAGUUCAGGUAACACUGAAUGGAGGACCGAACCGACUUACGUUGAAAAGUGAGCGGAUGAACUGAGGGUAGCGGAGAAAUUCCAAUCGAACCUGGAGAUAGCUGGUUCUCUCCGAAAUAGCUUUAGGGCUAGCCUCAAGUGAUGAUUAUUGGAGGUAGAGCACUGUUUGGACGAGGGGCCCCUCUCGGGUUACCGAAUUCAGACAAACUCCGAAUGCCAAUUAAUUUAACUUGGGAGUCAGAACAUGGGUGAUAAGGUCCGUGUUCGAAAGGGAAACAGCCCAGACCACCAGCUAAGGUCCCAAAAUAUAUGUUAAGUGGAAAAGGAUGUGGCGUUGCCCAGACAACUAGGAUGUUGGCUUAGAAGCAGCCAUCAUUUAAAGAGUGCGUAAUAGCUCACUAGUCGAGUGACACUGCGCCGAAAAUGUACCGGGGCUAAACAUAUUACCGAAGCUGUGGAUUGUCCUUUGGACAAUGGUAGGAGAGCGUUCUAAGGGCGUUGAAGCAUGAUCGUAAGGACAUGUGGAGCGCUUAGAAGUGAGAAUGCCGGUGUGAGUAGCGAAAGACGGGUGAGAAUCCCGUCCACCGAUUGACUAAGGUUUCCAGAGGAAGGCUCGUCCGCUCUGGGUUAGUCGGGUCCUAAGCUGAGGCCGACAGGCGUAGGCGAUGGAUAACAGGUUGAUAUUCCUGUACCACCUAUAAUCGUUUUAAUCGAUGGGGGGACGCAGUAGGAUAGGCGAAGCGUGCGAUUGGAUUGCACGUCUAAGCAGUAAGGCUGAGUAUUAGGCAAAUCCGGUACUCGUUAAGGCUGAGCUGUGAUGGGGAGAAGACAUUGUGUCUUCGAGUCGUUGAUUUCACACUGCCGAGAAAAGCCUCUAGAUAGAAAAUAGGUGCCCGUACCGCAAACCGACACAGGUAGUCAAGAUGAGAAUUCUAAGGUGAGCGAGCGAACUCUCGUUAAGGAACUCGGCAAAAUGACCCCGUAACUUCGGGAGAAGG
rnacentral:rRNA from 1 species